UACGAAGGGGGCUAGCGUUGCUCGGAAUUACUGGGCGUAAAGGGCGCGUAGGCGGAUGACUAAGUUGGGGGUGAAAGCCCGGGGCUCAACCUCGGAACUGCCUUCAAUACUGGUCAUCUUGAGUUCGGGAGAGGUGUGUGGAACUCCGAGUGUAGAGGUGAAAGUCGUAGAUAUUCGGAAGAACACCAGUGGCGAAGGCGACACACUGGCCCGAUACUGACGCUGAGGCGCGAAAGCGUGGGGAGCAAACAGG
rnacentral:rRNA from 1 species